GAUGAACGCUGGCGGCGUGCCUAAUACAUGCAAGUCGAGCGAACGGACGAGAAGCUUGCUUCUCUGAUGUUAGCGGCGGACGGGUGAGUAUCACGUGGAUAACCUACCUAUAAGACUGGGAUAACUUCGGGAAACCGGAGCUAAUACCGGAUAAUAUUUUGAACCGCAUGGUUCAAAAGUGAAAGACGGUCUUGCUGUCACUUAUAGAUGGAUCCGCGCUGCAUUAGCUAGUUGGUAAGGUAACGGCUUACCAAGGCAACGAUGCAUAGCCGACCUGAGAGGGUGAUCGGCCACACUGGAACUGAGACACGGUCCAGACUCCUACGGGAGGCAGCAGUAGGGAAUCUUCCGCAAUGGGCGAAAGCCUGACGGAGCAACGCCGCGUGAGUGAUGAAGGUCUUCGGAUCGUAAAACUCUGUUAUUAGGGAAGAACAUAUGUGUAAGUAACUGUGCACAUCUUGACGGUACCUAAUCAGAAAGCCACGGCUAACUACGUGCCAGCAGCCGCGGUAAUACGUAGGUGGCAAGCGUUAUCCGGAAUUAUUGGGCGUAAAGCGCGCGUAGGCGGUUUUUUAAGUCUGAUGUGAAAGCCCACGGCUCAACCGUGGAGGGUCAUUGGAAACUGGAAAACUUGAGUGCAGAAGAGGAAAGUGGAAUUCCAUGUGUAGCGGUGAAAUGCGCAGAGAUAUGGAGGAACACCAGUGGCGAAGGCGACUUUCUGGUCUGUAACUGACGCUGAUGUGCGAAAGCGUGGGGAUCAAACAGGAUUAGAUACCCUGGUAGUCCACGCCGUAAACGAUGAGUGCUAAGUGUUAGGGGGUUUCCGCCCCUUAGUGCUGCAGCUAACGCAUUAAGCACUCCGCCUGGGGAGUACGACCGCAAGGUUGAAACUCAAAGGAAUUGACGGGGACCCGCACAAGCGGUGGAGCAUGUGGUUUAAUUCGAAGCAACGCGAAGAACCUUACCAAAUCUUGACAUCCUUUGACAACUCUAGAGAUAGAGCCUACCCCUUCGGGGGACAAAGUGACAGGUGGUGCAUGGUUGUCGUCAGCUCGUGUCGUGAGAUGUUGGGUUAAGUCCCGCAACGAGCGCAACCCUUAAGCUUAGUUGCCAUCAUUAAGUUGGGCACUCUAAGUUGACUGCCGGUGACAAACCGGAGGAAGGUGGGGAUGACGUCAAAUCAUCAUGCCCCUUAUGAUUUGGGCUACACACGUGCUACAAUGGACAAUACAAAGGGCAGCGAAACCGCGAGGUCAAGCAAAUCCCAUAAAGUUGUUCUCAGUUCGGAUUGUAGUCUGCAACUCGACUACAUGAAGCUGGAAUCGCUAGUAAUCGUAGAUCAGCAUGCUACGGUGAAUACGUUCCCGGGUCU
rnacentral:rRNA from 1 species